rnacentral:rRNA from 1 species
UACGUAGGGUGCGAGCGUUGUCCGGAAUUAUUGGGCGUAAAGAGCUUGUAGGCGGUUUGUCGCGUCUGCUGUGAAAAUCCGGGGCUCAACCCCGGACUUGCAGUGGGUACGGGCAGACUAGAGUGUGGUAGGGGAGACUGGAAUUCCUGGUGUAGCGGUGAAAUGCGCAGAUAUCAGGAGGAACACCGAUGGCGAAGGCAGGUCUCUGGGCCAUUACUGACGCUGAGAAGCGAAAGCAUGGGGAGCAAACAGG